AUGCAAGGUCCUUCGAUGCCAGAUCGCCGACCCGGCUUUCCUCUCUCAGCUCCGCCUCUGAAGCGCCGACCGGUUCAUGCCCACACUGUUCCGUGGCUUGUUCAUCCAGAACCUGCGCGAGGCGGCAGCGGGCGAGCACCCGCGGUUCGUCGUCCCCGGCCGCUCCAAGGAGCCGCCCCCCGAGCCGUUUCGCUCCUUUCUGUCCAAGCACACCACCCUCUUCGAGUUCUACCACCCCGUCUUGGCAGCGCGGCACGGCCUCGUCGCCCUCCGCUGCGACGCCACCCCCGAGUCUUAACCGGCUGGCGCGUACGUGUUCAACCCUAUGACGGGCUACAUCCACUUCUUUGGGCCACCUGGGAUCAAAGCCCAGUCGUUCGUCCUGCUCACCGGCGACGGCCGUUACCGCCUGCUCGCGCGGAGUUGUCUUCAGGAGUUCAGGUCACCUAA
rnacentral:rRNA from 1 species